rnacentral:rRNA from 1 species
UACGUAGGUGGCGAGCGUUGUCCGGAUUUAUUGGGCGUAAAGCGCCCGCAGGCGGCCUGGCAAGUUUCAGGUGAAAUCUCCCGGCUUAACUGGGAGGGGUCCUGGAAAACUGGCAGGCUUGAGUGUGGCAGAGGGGGGUGGAAUUCCACGUGUAGCAGUGAAAUGCGUAGAGAUGUGGAGGAACACCGAUGGCGAAGGCAGCCCCCUGGGCUAACACUGACGCUCAUGCACGAAAGCGUGGGGAGCAAACAGG